GGGGAUUUAGCUUAGUGGUAGAGCGCUUGCCUAGCAAGCGCAAGGUCCUGGGUUCGGUCCCCAGCUCCG
rnacentral:tRNA from 1 species